AUGGAUCGUCAGGGGAACGGGGAUCCGGGGGACGACGAGUCGGCGACGACGUCCUGGGAGGUGGGCGGGGGCUCCGAGGCCGGGGCGGAGGUGACGGGGGUUACCCGGGGCUCCGAGCCUGAGGCGGAGGGGGUCCCGGGUGGCGUCCUGGUGGGGGUGACCGCGGGCUCGGUGACCAAGCCGUCCAAGGUGGGUGGAGGCUCCAAGGCCCAGGCGGAGGCGUCUUCCAAGGCGGGCGGGGGCUCCGUGGCCGGGGCGGAUGGGGAGGGGUCCUCUGCUAGCUUCGCGGCGGAGGGGAUGGGGGUACCUCUGGUCCUGACGGCGGCGGAGAUGGCCGCUCAGGGCUUCGACAUCGGCGUCGACAUCGUGCUGGCAGGCAUGGAACAGUAUGUGGAUCCGGUCGCCUAUGCAGAGUUCGAGGAGGUGAUGCUGGCCGCCGACAACCUCCGAUUUGCUCAAAAUUCGCGCCAGGUACCCCCUGCUGAUACCUUCCAGCCUGUAAAUGAAAAUGAGGUAAAUGUGGAUCCGGACGCCGAGGCAGAGUUCGACGCGAUGAUUCUGGCCGCCAACAACCUCCGAUUUGCUCAACAGUUGCGCCAGGUACCCCCUGCUGAUACCUUCCAGCUUGAAAAUGAAAAUGAGGAUGAAAGGGUUCACACCAAUCAAUCUGGCUCUUCACUGUAUCAGGGAAUUCAUAAUGAUACACUAUAUGGAUCUUCCAUAUCUCAGCAGAUUCAUAGUGAUACUUUACAUGGUUCUCCAAUACCUCAGGGGGGUGAUAAUAAUACAUUACAUGGAUCUUGCAUUCCUCAGGGGGGUGAUAAUGAUCGUGCAUCUGCAACUUGGUUCAAACUUAAGGUCCCUAGUGCGUUCCAAGGUCUCCGGCGUUACCAUAAACAAAUUUUGCAUCAAAGGAAAUUUAUGGAGUAG
rnacentral:rRNA from 1 species